AGGGGGGUAGAAUUCCAGGUGUAGCGGUGAAAUGCGUAGAGAUCUGGAGGAAUACCGGUGGCGAAGGCGGCCCCCUGGACGAGACUGACGCUCAGGUGCGAAAGCGUGGGGAGCAACCAGGAUUAGAUACCCUGGUAGUCCACGCCGUAAACGAUGUCGACUUGGAGGUUGUGCCCUUGAGGCGUGGCUUCCGGAGCUAACGCGUUAAGUCGACCGCCUGGGGAGUACGGCCGCAAGGUUAAAACUCAAAUGAAUUGACGGGGGCCCGCACAAGCGGUGGAGCAUGUGGUUUAAUUCGAUGCAACGCGAAGAACCUUACCUGGUCUUGACAUCCACGGAAGUUUUCAGAGAUGAGAAUGUGCCUUCGGGAACCGUGAGACAGGUGCUGCAUGGCUGUCGUCAGCUCGUGUUGUGAAAUGUUGGGUUAAGUCCCGCAACGAGCGCAACCCUUAUCCUUUGUUGCCAGCGGUCCGGCCGGGAACUCAAAGGAGACUGUUAGUGAUAAACUGGAGGAAGGUGGGGAUGACGUCAAGUCAUCAUGGCCCUUACGACCAGGGCUACACACGUGCUACAAUGGCGCAUACAAAGAGAAGCGACCUCGCGAGAGCAAGCGGACCUCAUAAAGUGCGUCGUAGUCCGGAUUGGAGUCUGCAACUCGACUCCAUGAAGUCGGAAUCGCUAGUAAUCGUGGAUCAGAAUGCCACGGUGAAUACGUUCCCGGGCCUUGUACACACCGCCCGUCACACCAUGGGAGUGGGUUGCAAAAGAAGUAGGUAGCUUAACCUUCGGGAGGGCGCUUACCACUUUGUGAUUCAUGACUGGGGUGAAGUCGUAACAAGGUAACCAAGGGCGAAUC
rnacentral:rRNA from 1 species